rnacentral:lncRNA from 1 species
GCUGGGCUCUGCAGUGCAGCAAGGAGGGAGACAUAGAGUGACUGAAGUCCAAGGUCCAGUGGUGAAAUGAAAAGACCGUCAGCAGAUAUUUGACCCAAGAAGGAGGCAUCCGGAUGGAAGUACUGUGAGUCCUUAUGAGGGAACCCUGAAUACCGGGAUGGUACUUGAUUAUCACCGGCUACAGAUUCCCAACAGCCCUAGUUUUCCGGGUGUGAUCUUUGAUGCAAACCAGCAUCAUCAACCAGCUGUUUUGCUGAUCGAAUGGAGAGAGAGAGACCUCGUGAGCUGGUAUGACUCUGACAGCUUGACUUCUGGCAGCUGCUGGACCUCAGAGCAUAAUUUCCUCCCUCGUGGGUUAUCAGAAUCAAACACCCCUGGCUAAUCAGGAUUUCAAAGGAUGCAGAUAUCCAGUUUAAUUUAAGAGGAUUAUUCCAAAACAGCUCCGAGUAGGGCAUUUGGACUUUGAGCCCCCUAACCGUUCGCUCAAACAGGCAUCAGAGGCGGCUGGAAUCUUGAACUUUUUCCAGGAACGGGAAGAGAUUUCAAUAUAAAAGAGCAGUGGAUGUCUUCAGACAGUCUUAGCCCCAGCACUGGGAAAGGUACCUAAUCCCCCUGGGCUUUAACUUCCUCAUAUGUUUAAAAAAAGAGGAUUUGACCAGAUGACCUCUCCAAUCUCCUCUAGCCCUGAAAUUCUCUGACUGUAAUCUCUAAGGCCUCUUCUAGCUGUAAAAUUUGGGAACUGAAUAAUUCAAACCCCUCUCGGCCACAAGCAUCAAGAACGCUGAAGAGCUCCGUAUCUAUUCCCUCGCUGCCUCAGUUUGGUACUGAAAGAGGUGACAAAGGUCAUAUUUAUACAAAGGACUUCCCAUGUGCUACUCACUGAGUUUCAACUUUCUUCUGGAAAGUCUGUGGCCUACAGCCUCACCCCCCAUACUGUGAAGACAAAAUUGUUUACAAAAUCCCACGACUCGGAGAUCUAACGCUAGUUCUACAGACGGAAGCGUAUAUACUAAUAUCAUUCCUAAGAACAGUGUGCCUGGGAAAAAGGCUCUAGGGUCACAUAAAGUUCCAAAACACCGUCCUUGGUCCCCUCUCAUUGAUGGAUCACCUUACAGGAGAGCAUAUUGGAGCAUAACACGCCCUGCACUGGAGAAAACUUCUUGAACUUUGCUUGCCUCACCAUUUCCCAACAUUUGACCACCGAAGUCUAUUUAUUUUCCCUCUGAAACAUUUAUUAUCAUUUUCUAAACUAGACCUCCACAAAACCUACGUAGGAAAUGCUGCUCUAAGCAUCACCUCCCACUUGGUAGAUGCAGGGCGUUCCUUCAACCGGCAAAUUCUUCAGCCCCACCCCCUGACUUACUGAAUCAGCAUCUUUGGAG